CUGGCAGACGGGAGGAGGCAGGGGAGGAGGGGCGCGCGCGCCGGGUGGGGAGCCACGGAGGGCUUCGCCGCUGCCUCCCUCCCUCCCUCCGCAGCUUGACCCGGUAGUGAAGGCAGAGAGAGAGGCAGGCUGGGUCCGCCUGGCAGCCUACGGGAGGAGGCGGGAGCCGGGAAGGAGGGGAGCCUAGGCCCGGCGUGGGGAGGCCGGCAGGAAGGGCCUCGAGCCCAGUGCGGACCUUUCUUCAGCCUCUGUGCGACCGAGCCGCGCGCCAGGCUCCUGUGCGAGGAGGACGCGCUGACUCCCUCCGACCUGGGCUCCGAUGGAGCAGAAAUAGCGGGACCUGGACUUGUGGCGCGCCUGGUGCCACAUCUCGGGCUCUGCGAGCGUCCUGGCGCGGGAUCCUGCCGUUUGCAUCCAAGAGAGGGGAGGACAGGGGCAAAAGGAUGCAGGGAGGCUGCUGAUUUCCACUGAAGAGCUAAUUUCCUGUGAGACAUUAACAGUGAUUUAAGAAAAAGAUUCCUGUAACUGUAAUGUCUUACAAUAACAGAAUGCAGGAGAGCACAUAUCAAUGAAGAAAAGACAAAAUGUACUUAUCCAUGAAGCUGAGGUUAAGAAACCAGUGUCUUCAAGAGCCAGGGACAGCACUGGGUCUGUGCAGAGUUGAGAGAUGGUGAUGACAUGUGGUUUCCAGCAUUCCUCACCCAGUCCAGGGACACUGUGGGUGUGCCCAGCUUAAGUCCAGUAACUGGAAAUACAAGCCCAAGUUCUGGAGAGUUUGAGCUGCAGAGAUAUAUAUGGGAACACUUUGAAUCUUGACUCAUUGGCCAUAACCAGCAGAGUGGAAAAUACAAGAAGAGAAAAAAACAUUGAACUGCGAUUUUAUAACAUCCUUUACUAGGCAGAGAGAAGAGGAAACACCAGGAAAGAAAACUGUAUUACGAUGUGAAAACUUAAUGUUGAGAAAUUCAGGCAUCUUGGGGUUAGUGAGGAGAAGUUUUAGGGGCUUAGAUUCUUCUAAACACAUGUACAGAAAUGCAUAUUUCAUCUGAUAUCAAAUGGCAUUUAUAGUGCUAAUCUUUACCUCAAGACUUCACAUCUUUUGGUGAUUGCAUCUUUUAGGUUUAUAGCAGCUAAGUUUGCAUGAAAACACCAGGGCUGUUUCAUUUCAGUCAAGAAUUAAUGUUCAUUGAUUGUGCUUCUGCAUUUCAUGUAACUAUUGUAGAAUUUGUUUUAGUUUUAUGAGGGAAUAAUUGUUCCAACUUCUAUAUAACUCAGGAAUUUACUCUCAAACAACACUGUCAAUUAGUUACUUAUCUCUCUGGAAAUGAUCUGGGAACAUGGAGAGGAAAGGGAGGAAGGGGCAAAAUCUGACCACUUAAAUCUAAGCAUAUUAGAUCAUUUUAUGCUAGAAAGUCCUGAAUGAUGUGACUUUCGUUCUUGUAAAACACCUCUUUCCAUAGAUUCAUGGCCCAAACAGUAUAUAAAGAGUGGGGAAGGAACUGCAUUUGCAAAUAGUUCAAAUCAUUGCUCCAUCUUAACUACGCAGUUCACAAAGUGUGAAGAAAUGUGAUCAUCUCAAAAAAGAUAAUGGGGAAAAAAUAUGUUUUGUUCUGUGACUUUAAAGUCUUGCAAUAUUUUACAUAAAUGAUAAUGGGUGCUUUAAUAAGAACUCUUGAUACUUUUGUUAUUGUAUUCAAUAUAUGCAUAUAAUACAACAGGAUGAUAUUGUUUUGGAUUUGGAAAUGUAUUCUUUCUUAUGCAAUCUUAUGCAGUCAUACUGCUUGAAUAUCAUUACCUGAAUUUAUCUUUCUUUUUUUUGUUGUUGUUUUACACUCUACUUAUUUGGUGCCUGUCAGUCUUUUGUCGUCAGUUUAUAUUCUACUAAACUCAAAAAGACAAUCUCAUACCUUUUGUAAUUGUAGGCAUUCUUUACUAGAUUUUUAAAUACACUUCAAAAAUUCAAGUACUUUGAUUUCAUGCCAUCAAGUAGCUGAAUCUAUCCCCCCGUCUCUUUUUAAAUUUAAGUGAGUAGUUCAAUUUCUGUCACUUUCUACUUUGUGAAUUCUAAAUCUUUUAAAACCAUCUUGCCAUUUUUCGUGCACUUACCCUUACAGAAAACUCUGUGAAACACUACUUAUCUCUACUUUUAUGUUUUUAACUCCUUUUUUAUAUUACUAUUCCCUCUGCUUUCUAAAUGCACAUAUUAAUUUGUUCUUUUUAUUCUCUGUAGCUCUUCUCAGUGUAUGAAUUCAGUUUCCCAUCAGUCUCCAUACAAUUAAAAAAAAGUUGAGUAUUCUGUUAUUUUAAUAAGAUAUCUAGUGCCCAUAUUCUAAUUCUGCCCCUUAUUUUUAAUAUAAUUUUAUUGUUGAUUUAAAAUGACAACAGUUUCAAUUCCCAGAAAGUGAAAGGAAACAAAGGAAUAAUAUUAUAGGCUUAAUUUUUAUCAGUGAACUUGUAGGUGAAGAAAAGAUUUGGGGAAGGAAAUGAACAUAUUAUAUUGCAAAAUAGUAAGGAACAAUCAGAUGUGUUUUCUAGUCUCUGGAAAAGCAUGUUUCAAGAAAUUCAAUGAAAAGUUCAUCAUGCUUGCUUAGAUUGUUGAGAAGCAAAAACACUGAUGAACAUUUGGAAGCAAUGAGAAUGUAAUUCUAAUCAUACUCUUUUAAUAAUGUUGCAAAACUCUCCAAACACUACUCUGUGUGGAUGUCUUUCAGAAUAUGAUGAAUACUAGUAGUCUUAUUCUGCCCUUUUCUCUCUAUCACAAUAUAUACAUUCUAUAUUGCAUACACAUAUUUUCCAAAUAUUACAUAUAAUUUCAUGUAAUUUAUAGACCUAUUAAGGCCCAACCAUUUUCUUGGAUAGGGGAUUCUUUAGAAGUCCAGCUUAAAUAAAGCCCGUAUAGAAAGUUUUUUUAAAAUUUAUACAUAAUCACCUAAAGUAACCUUAUCUACUGAACUCUUAGUACAUGCUACUGGAACCUUUUAUCAUGUUUCUUCCUGGCUUGCAUUACAACACUGUUGACAUAUCUCAGCCUUACUUCUAGGCUUCUUUGAGAGCAUGACUCAUGUUUGUAUUCCUCACUGAGGUUGAAUGAAUAAGAGAAACUACAGUAGUAGGAAAAAACAGUACAUGUACAUAUCAAUGAAUAUGAAAGGGUCAAAUGGAUCUAUUAUAGUAAGCACAAAAUCAACUGACACCAGCAAAGUAAACCCAAAAUUUUUAAUGGUAUUUUAAUAGAUCAAGAGGAGCAAGCAGAUUUUUGAGACAGUUGUCUCCUACUUUCUCUAUCACAGGGAGUAAUUUUAAAAGAAAAAUGGAGGGUAAGUUUCUUUAAGAGAAAAUUGUAGUUUAAAACAGGUCAUGGGAUAAUUAGAAAUAAUUUAAUUUCUUUAGAGGAUUUUAAUCUUUCAACUGCUUGCAAUUAGAUCCUAAGGCAAUAAAAGAAUAAGGAGAUUUGGAAAACCAUUGUCUGUAAUCUCUGAAGAAAAGUGGACAUUAGGGGAGUCAGUUGAAAAGCAAAGCUAUCACCAUUUUCUAAAGAGGAAAAAGGUGAACCUCACAAACUAUAGACCAAAAAAAUAGGACAUCGAGAGAAAGAAUAUGAAGCUAGCAUAGGUUCACAAAGAAUGAGUCAAAUCAAACAACAUGCAUUUUUUAUUUAUAAAGCAUGACUUGUUCAUUGUCAAUUCAUGUUAGCUUAAUCAUUAGGCAUUAAUGCCAUCACUGCAAUGCAUAUGUCAGCAAUAAAUAAUCAAAGACCAGGCUUCCAUCAUUCUGUUUAAUAUCUUCAAGUAAUGCUUAAGUUUGCAAAUGCUCUUUUAACACAUUCUCCAUAUGCAGCCUGCCCAGCACUGCACACAAUAGACCUGUUACUUCCCCCUCACGAGCACUCCUAAUAUUUCAUGUGCUCAUCCAAUUGACUUCUCCCACUGGUGCCUCAUAUUGAAUUUGUAGAAUCACACCUGCUCCUUUUUCAAAACUCUUCUGAGUUUUUUCUUAAAUAAUUCACUGACCCCAAAGUUGUCAGAUAUUUGAAGACUACUCGCACAAUUUUAAUAUUAUAAAUGUAUAAUGUAAAUGUAAUUAAGAUUUGUAUAAUGUACGAUGUACUUUGGUAAAUAAAAGUAUGCUGUGAAUAAAUACGUAUGAUACAAUUCAAAAUUUUACAUAAAUAUGUGAUAAAAUUUAGCUCAUAUUCUUUUUUUUUUUCUUUGAGACGGAGUCUCACUCUGUUGCACCCAGGCUAGAGUGCAGCAGCAUGAUCUCAGCUCACUGCAACCUCUACCUCCUGGGUUCAAACAAUUCUCCUGCCUCAGCCUCCUGAGUAGCUGGGAUUACAGGUGCCCGCCACCAUGCCCAGCUAAUUUUUUUCUAUUUUUGUUGUUGUUGUUGUUUUUAGUAGAGACGGGGUUUCACCAUGUUGGUCAGGCUGGUCUUGAACUCCUGACCUCAGAUAAUCCACCUGCCUCGGCCUCCCAAAGUUCUGGGAUUACAGACGUGAACCACGGUGCCCGGCCUAGUUCAUGUUCUUUAAGGACAAUUAUGAAUAUUUUUAUGCACUGUUAAUUUUCAUUAAGAUAUUGAUCAAUUAAUAGCUAUAUAUGUUCUAUAAAUUAAUCCUAUCUAGUUUCAAUCUUAAAUUGUUUGCAUAUACCAAUCUAGUUUAUUGUUUGCAUAUAUUUUAUAGUGUAGAGAUUAGGCAUUUUAAUAAAAUUUUAAAAUUUCCAGGACAUACUGUUAAUGACUAUGCUUCCUACUAUAGGCCAUAAUUAAUUUUUUUCUAUUGUCAACAAUAUUUUGGUAGGGAUGAUCAGGAAAUAAGGAAAUGUUUCCUUCAUUUGUUAACAAUAGGUGUUUGGGGAUUUUAAAAUGAAAAUUGAAGAAGUAAAAGACACCAUAUAUUUAGUUUGUUUGAUUUCGUGGCUUCAAGAGUUCAAUAAUUUAUUGAAAUAUUUUACAGACCAAAGAACAACAGAUAUAUUACGUUUAUAAGCCCCCACAUAUUUUAAAGGAUAAUGGUUUAUAUAUGAAAAUUCCCUGAACCUACACUUCAUCAGGAAAAGCUAAAUAAAAGAAGUUUACAUUUCCUAGGACUAAUGGAGAUUUAUUUCCCAGUCCUCUUCUCUGGAGACAAAUGUAGGUCUCUCUUGAAAAGCAGAAAGUUUUGCAUAUGAGGUAUGAUUUAGUGGGCUAGAAACAUCUUUUCCACCCUCCCCAAAAUGUUUCACUAUGUUUUAUCAUACUAUCUGAUAAUUUUGCACUAAAGUUUUCUUUCUGUGUUAAGAAAAUGCAAAUAUCUCUGAAUGGGUCUCUUUGCUUUAGUCAUACUCAUAUGGCUACUACUGAACAAAAUAUGUUCAUUACAGGAUGAAGGGAAUGUUGCCAGCCAGCAAAUCCCUAGAGUUUGCACUACACCAAACGUUGCUUAGCAAUUUCCACGAUUUUCUCAGUCUAAUUUGCAAGAAUCAAGGAGAUGUUUGUGUAUGCUACAUGAAGUUGUAAAAUUGGUAUUUAUUGUAUGUUUCUAUAUCGAAAGCUUUACAAACAAAGGAAAUGGAAAGUUAACAGGUGGAUAUGAUAGUGUGGCACUACUUUAGCUGGAUGGUAAGGGAGAGCUUCUCUUAGGAAGUGUUUUAGGCCAGGACUUGAAUAAUGAACAGUAUCUAGUUGUACAAAAAUCUGGAGGAAAGACUUUUCAGGCCCAGGAGAAAUGAAAAUUCUUUUCAUGCAUACAAGAAUGAAAGUGAAAAUUACCUACUCUAUGUCCUGAAGUGGGAAGUUGGCUUGCCAGAGAGUAGGUAAUUUUCACUUUGAUUCUUUCAUGCCUUCAGUUAUACUACUUCUUAGGUUAGUUCAUAAGGGUUUCCACAAUUUGGUUCCCACUUAAAAUUUAAAACUUCCCUAACCCAUUCCCACCAUAUAUUGUGCUAAUCCAUGCAUAUGUGACUUUGCGUAUGCUGUUUUCAUUGUUUAAUAUUCUUCUCAUGCAUUCGUUCUUUCCUGAUAACGAACUCAUCUUUGAAACUCCCCUUCAAGCAUCCUCUACUUUAGGAGGCCGCUUCUCACUGUCUCCUGCCUACCACCCAUUGAAUUGUUCAAUUUUUAAGCUGCCAUUGUCUUGUGCAGUUGACACAUUUCUUUGCAAUUACUGAUUUACAUGUCUGCUUUUAUCACUGGUGAGGUUCUUUAGGACAGAGACAUUAUUAAUUCAUCUCUGGGCACAUAUGUUCCAACAUAUUAGAAGUACUACAGAGUGCUAUUACUAUGUAGUAUGUAGUAUUAGUAGUAGUUACUCACAAAUCAUUUUUAAAUAAGUGAUUAUAAUAUCUUUUUGUUAUUAUGAUUUAACACAAGAUGGAAUUUAUUUUCAGAAGUUUCCAUGAUAUAUUUGUUCUAUUUAAAAUCCAAUAGCCAUUAGAAUAUUACCAUUAUUUAAUGUAAAACAAUAAAAUAUUAAAUAUGAUCGUUCAUAUUUAAUGCAAACCGAACUCAUGGAAAUAUUGUGUAAAGAUCAAGUAAUUUUUGACAUACAAUUUUAAACUCAACUUUUCAUAUAGCAUACCUUAUGAUAUAUUUUCAGCCUACUUUUAAAUAUGUUGGCAUUGAAAGCCAGUUACUAAUUCGCUGAAUUCAUGAUUUCUUUUUAAGUUAUAGAAGUGGAAUUAUGUUUGAGAUAUUCAUUGCAUUACAUUUACCAGAACUUGAGUUCUUAACAUGGAACCUGAGAGUUUCUCCAAUUCUUAAGUCCCUGGGAGAAAUAGAUUAGCUGGAUGAGGAACUGAGAGGAAAAAUGGUCAGAGAUGUAGCAAGAGUUGGGAAGAAGGAACAAUGAUUUGCUUUCAAGGAGAUUUUUUCAUUGGUCUGUUUUCAGUGACAAACCCACUGCGAUAAUACAUGUAAAGUGAAAACAUUCAGGAAGUUCCCUUAGAAACCUCUUUUCUGGCAGUUCCUAAUUCUACAACAUUGUAUAAGUGAAAUACCAUAGUUACUGUCAUAGUAAAUUGAGCCAAGAGAAACAAGGGAGCAGGAGAAGAAAAGAAUUAAAGAGAGUUUUGUCUUUCAGUCUUCACUCUGUUUCUUCUUGCUUUUACCAGUCAUUCAGGUUUAUAUAAUUUCUUUAGAGAGGCUUCUACUAUGCAGGUCUUCCUUAAAGUCAUUGGUAUUACCUGGCAUGAUAUGUGAGCCUUUAAUAUCAGUCCCUUUAUCUCUUUAUUUUUAAAGUUUAUAUCAGUACAGAGUCCUGGAUUCUUAAUUAAUUUAAUAGGUUAGACUUUAUGCUAAUAUUCUUCAUUUUGAUGCUCAAAUUUUCCAAAAUUUGGCCAGCAGGGUUCCUUAAAGCUGGGUACCUUGCCCUUUCAACAUGUCCCUCUGAUUCUUUAUUUUUAUUUACUUAUUUAUUUAUUUAUUUAUUUAUUUAUUUAUUUAUUUAUUUAGAGACUGAGUCUUGCUCUGUCUCCCAGCCUGGAGUGCAAUGGCACAAUCUUGGCUCACUGCAACCUCUAUCUCCCAGGUUCAAGCAAUUCUCCUCCCUCAGCCUCCCGAGCAACUGGGACUACAGGCAUGUGCAACCAUGCCUGGCUAAUUUUUUUUGUAUUUUUAGUAGAGACAGGCUUUCACCAUGUUGGUCAGGCUGGCCUCGAUCUCCUGACCUCAAAUGAUCCAUCGCCUCGGCCUCCCAAAGUGCUGGGAUUACAGGCGUGAGCUGCCACACCCAGCCGUCCCUCUCAUUCUUUAAGUACUUCCAUGUUUUCUAAGGUACAAGAUGUUCCAUAUUAUUUUGUUAUUUGUCUUCCCCAGCUCUGAAAUCUGCCUUUCCUUCAAGGAGCCUUGGUUCUUUCUAGUGACAAAUUAUAUUUAGAAAGAAGAUCUGGGUAUUUGACUUGUAUAUUGCUAUUAAUUGGCCAUUGUUUCUAGUCUCUUUCAGUAGACAGAGCUAAGAAAUGUAAAAGGAAAUAUUUGAAUGUAUGUAUAUGUGAUAUAUUAAGUACAUUUAAACAUAUUAAAUUCAUGAGUUCAUACUAAUACUUUCAAUAAGCCACAAUUCCCUUUUCAUGUUUUCGAAGGAAAAAUAUCCAUUGUCUAUAUACAGUGGACAUAGAUAGUAAUAAUACUGAUCUUGAAAAGAGCAGUCUUAAAUAGAUCCCAUUAAUAGUUAAAGAUAACAUAUCUUAGAAUUCUAGAUAUUAGAGAGAUUAUCUAGAGCUGUAAUCUAGAUAUUUUAUAGAUCUUUGCUGUGCUGUUUUGAAUUUGUGUUGGAGUAGAACAAUCAGAUGACAAAAGCUCAUCCCACAUGGAAAAAUCAAAGCAUUCAUUACAGAGAGAAUUUUGAAAUAAAUGCAUAUAUAAAAAAUAUAUAUGCAUAUAUAAUGCAUAUGUAUAUGCAUAUAAAAUAUAUAUAUAUAAAAUGAGGGUUAUAAACAAUGAAGGAAAUAGUGAUACUAUCUAUGUGGGAACAAUACUAGUAUCCUCCCUUUGGAUGAAUACAGUAGCUACAGAUGCAAUUCUGGGGACUCUGUUUAGCAAUAGCUUAACUAUUGCUUGGCUACAAGCAUGGAUAACUUGUUCAAAGAUAAUGAGGAGUUGUAAAUAUUUAAAUAAACAGGAUUUGCAACAUAAAAAGCUUUGUGACUAUGUGUCUGAAUUCUUAGAGUUUUCUCCCAGCAAGACCUUGGAUGUGGCAGACUUUUCUGUAAUUGUCCAUCUCGCCCCUAUUUCAUGAAAAGCCAGAGCUUCUCUACUUAGUUUGCUAACCCCAAAUAUAUAAAUUCAAUAGAAGUACUAGCCUGUUUUUACUGGUUUAUUUGCUUUAUCUAAAAAAAACAAGGCAUAGUUUAAAGUCUGUUUUUGAUAGCAUAACAAAACAAAGGUUCUCAUUUUAAUAAUGCAUCACAUAUACACUUGGUAACUAUUGCAUAGUAAUAAUUUAAUAACUUGAGAAAUAUAUUUAUGCAUGUAUGUGUAUAUGUUCAUAUAUAUGUUAUUUUUAAUUCAGAAGUAAAACAAAUAUUGGAAGAGGCCACAGUUAUUAUAAAAAUAAUUUGACCAGUAUUGGACAAUGCAAAUAGCAAUCAUUUAGAAGUUUCU
rnacentral:lncRNA from 1 species